rnacentral:RNase_P_RNA from 1 species
AGAGCAAGUCGGGUAAUCGCUUUGAUUGAAAAAUUUAAGAGGAAAGUCCGAACACCGAAGGGCAGCGAACCGGAUAACGUCCGGGCGUUCGAUUUUUCCAAAAAUCGGAUGACGACAAGUGCAACAGAAAACAAACCAGCCGAAAGGUGAUGGGUGAAACGACGCGGUAAGAGCGCGUCAGCGUGUUUGGUAACAAGCGCGGCUGGGUAAACUCUUCGCGGUGCAAGACCAAAUAGGAAAACGUGCUGAUGAGUUGCCCGCUCAUUGUCCGAAGCGAUUCGGACGGCGUUUUCGGGUAGGUCGCUUGAGCGGUUCGGUAACGAAUCGCCUAGAUGAAUGAUUACCAUCUGCCUUCGGGCGGAUACAAAAUUCGGCUUAUAGACUUGCUCUGAUU